rnacentral:rRNA from 1 species
CAAUAGCGUAUAUUAAAGUUGUUGCAGUUAAAAAGCUCGUAGUUGGAUUUCUGGUGGGAGCGAUCGGUCUGGCGCUUAGCGCGAGUACUUGCAUCGUCUCCGGCCAUCCUUGGGGAAAGUCUGUCUGGCAUUAAGUUGUCGGGCAGAGGAUCCUCAUCGUUUACUGUGAAAAAAUUAGAGUGUUCAAAGCAGGCUUAUGCCGUUGAAUAUAUUAGCAUGGAAUAAUAAGAUAGGACUUUGGUACUAUUUUGUUGGUUUGCGCACCAAGUAAUGAUUAAUAGGGACAGUUGGGGGUAUUCGUAUUCCGUUGUCAGAGGUGAAAUUCUUGGAUUUACGGAAGACGAACUACUGCGAAAGCAUUUACCAAGGAUGUUUUCAUUAA